rnacentral:lncRNA from 1 species
GGGUAUAAUAUGUACAGAGGCAUUUUCUUUCUGAUCUGGCGCCAGUGGUGUAAGUUUGCAACAUUGUACAGCCGCGUUAAUACCCUGGUCAUAAGAAUGCUACGAGCUCCGUACAAGUAGGUUUUCAGUCGAAUUGUGGCAAACUCGCACGGCGUCCGUACGGACAUUGUUGCACGGGUUUUUAGAACUCGUAGAGGACUCGGAAACUCGAUGAAAUUUUUUUGCUGUUCCCCAGUGUUCUCUACGAUCUCGUAGAGAUUGUCGAAGUCGAGAGCAGUUUUCAGGAGCACCGUACGGGAACCGCACGGGGGCCGGAAGAGCUCGUUCAGGCAUCAACGAUGUUCUUUCGGAUUUGGAAAACUGCUAGGCUUGCCGAUGCUCACACAACAAUAGCAGGGGACUCGCACGGUCAACGUACGAUGUCCUUCGAUAUUCAGGACACCGUGCGGAGAACGUGCGAUUGUACGACUUCCUUAGAGGGCAUCGUACGAGGUACGGCGCGGCUCCCUGCGAGCUCCGAACGACUUGUCUGCGAUGUCCUUACGGAUAUCCUACGAUUGCAUCCUCUAAAUAUCGUAUGGAGAUCGUAGGUACUGUGACCACACACUACGAUUGUACAGAGACCAUAAGGUGUCUAAAUCGGUGGUAGGAUUAUUUAAAACCGUACGGACAUCGUACCUGUAAUAUGUCGAACUUAUACUUAAUUAGAUCCAGAUGUAGAUAACAAUUUAUUUAUCCUUGUGUAUCACCAUUUGCAAUGUGUAAUACCCUCGGUCACUAUAACGCUACAAGCUCCGUACGAGUAGGUUUUCAGUCGAAUUUUGGCAAACUCGUACGGGGACUUUUUGUAUUCAUAGAGCUCCGAGUUCUCUAUGAGCUCGUUGAAAUUUUCGAAGUAGGGAGCAGCUCGCAACAGCCCAGUAAGGGCCCCUGAAGAGCUCGUCAUAUGCAUCGCACGAUGUUCGUGUGGAUUUGGAAUACUGGCACACGGUAAUGUCAUAUUCUUGCUGUUGAAACAUAGUUUUUGUGUUACAGAGUUACAAUGAAACGAAAGCAUUUAUUAUAACACACACACCAUUGCAAACAACUCGAGAUGAUUUUUGGAUGCUUGUCUGGGAACAUGACAUUCACUCUAUUGUUAUGAUGAAUAGCUGUCAGAAAGUCAUGAAUGAAGAGAAAUAUUGGCCGGAAAGGAAACCAGUCGUAUUUGG